CAUUGUGACUGGGAGGAGAUGAUAAGGCACUGGAAUGAACCACCACCGCAAGCUCUUUGAGCCCAUAGUGUAAAUAGUAGGACCACUGGUUCGCUUAAACAAGGUCAGGGCCCAUGACAAACAAGAUAUACAAAAACUGGUUGAAGGAUCUCAGGAAUCGGCCCAAAUGCUUGAAAUGUGUGACCAAUGUACUAUUAAGGCAAUUAUCCUAUCAGUAGGCUUAUAUGGAGAACAUAUUACAGAUCAGGGUUUCUUUAUAAAGAUCGGCGAAAUGUUGAAGCAUCAAUUCAAGGACUUUUUGUAGCAGGGGACGCGUUUCUGAAGGUCAUUGUUGUCGUAGGCUGUAACAGUAAUGAAGUCUCUAGAGAGCGCUUGAGUGAUUCGCACUGGUUGAAAGACCAAUUUUGGGGGAUUUGCAUUAUCAUGCUGAAUGCUAUGUUGCGCUUUGGCAAAAUUUAUGUCAUUCCAUUUAUGAUUCU
rnacentral:lncRNA from 1 species